rnacentral:misc_RNA from 1 species
GCUAUUUUCACCUCACAACAACUGAAUCACAAGCUCAACGAUUCUUCCGAGUCUGCUGAAUCUUUUUACUCAGAAUUUGUGCCUCAGUGUGUUACUCUGUUCGUAAAUGCAAAUGGGAUUGAAAAAUCUGUUCCUAAUAGUGUUGAGAAGUUGUAUAAAGCUGUUCUUGUUAUGGCUGUUGCUGUUGCGGCUCUUCUUGGUUUUACUCAGUGUAAUAUUACUGGGCCAACGGUGAAGCUGCCACCAAUGCCUUUAGGUGCAAUAGUUUUUGGUGAAGAAGAGAUAAAGACUGGUUCUGGUGGAUGCUCAGAAUGGGAAGUGUGGGCGCAAAAGGAGUUAAUGUCAGUUGGUUCCGACUUGCGUGCUAAGUUUUCGAAUUUGCAGAAGGAAUCAACUCGGGGGUUGAUGGAGCCAGAAGCAUCUCGUGGUGGUUAGCUAGGCUGUUAAUCAUCCAACAAAAGUUGUUAGAUGAUCGCUCGUCUUCUUUGUUUGAUCUAUUGCAAGUCUUCAUGCGUGAAAGUUUGCAACAUAUUGGUUCUCUGGAGAAAACAAGAUAUUAUUGGGCUUCUCUGAUAUCAGAAGAGGAUGCU